rnacentral:rRNA from 1 species
GCCGAAGGUGGGGCUGAUGACUGGGGUGAAGUCGUAACAAGGCAGCCGUACCGGAAGGUGCGGCUGGAUCACCUCCUAA